rnacentral:lncRNA from 1 species
UGGAGAAGAACAGGAGCAUGGCUUGAGCCAAGGCUGGUGUUUAGAGGGAGACAAACCUAUUUUUGUCUCACAUUUGCUUUCCUGGAAGAUGCACCACGUCAGUGUUACAUUUUUAUCUUUCAGGGUGCAGAAGGGCCAAAAGGAGACAAAGGAGAAAAAGGAGACACUGGGUCACCAUGUCUGCAGAAUAAUCAUAUCAUACCUGAGCCUGGACCCCCUGGAUUACCUGGCCCUAUGGGUCCUCCAGGAAUCCAGGGGCCUAAAGGUUUGGAUGGUGCAAAGGGAGAGAAAGGUGACAGUGGUGAGAAGGGGGACCAAGGUGACACCGGACCUGCUGGUCUCCCAGGUGCUCCAGGGCUCAUUGGUUUACCUGGUACCAAAGGAGAAAAGGGAAAGCCAGGGGAGCCAGGAUUGGAUGGUUUCCCUGGUCUCAGAGGAGAGAAAGGAGAGAGAAGUGAAAGAGGCGAGAAGGGUGAACGAGGAAUACCAGGGAGAAAAGGGGCCAAAGGACAGAAGGGGGAACCAGGCCCCCCUGGACUGGAUCAGCCUUGUCCCGUGGUAUGUCUUUCAUUUCACUCAUCCUAAGCAUGGGCUGAGGGGCUGAAAAGGAGACACAGCUUUGCAGCCAGGGA